AUACAGAGGGUGCAAGCGUUAAUCGGAAUUACUGGGCGUAAAGCGCGCGUAGGCGGCUUUGUAAGUCGGAUGUGAAAGCCCUGGGCUCAACCUGGGAAUGGCAUUCGAUACUGCAUGACUAGAGUAUGGUAGAGGAAACUAGAAUUCCCGGUGUAGCGGUGAAAUGCGUAGAUAUCGGGAGGAAUACCUAUGGCGAAAGCAGGUUUCUGGGCCACCACUGACGCUGAUCCGCGAAAGCUAGGGGAGCAAACAGGAUUAGAAACCCCGGUAGUCC
rnacentral:rRNA from 1 species